ACCUGACUGCUAUCGGAUUGAUACUAAGCCAUGCGAGUCAUUGUAGCAAUACAAGGCAUACGGCUCAGUAACGCGUAGUCAACCUAACCUAUGGACGGGAAUAACCUCGGGAAACUGAGAAUAAUGCCCGAUAGAACAUUAUGCCUGGAAUGGUUUAUGUUCCAAAUGAUUUAUCGCCAUAGGAUGGGACUGCGGCCUAUCAGUUUGUUGGUGAGGUAAUGGCCCACCAAGACUAUUACAGGUACGGGCUCUGAGAGGAGUAGCCCGGAGAUGGGUACUGAGACACGGACCCAGGCCCUAUGGGGCGCAGCAGGCGAGAAAACUUUGCAAUGUGCGAAAGCACGACAAGGUUAAUCCGAGUGAUUUCUGCCAAAGAGAUCUUUUGUUAGUUCUAGAAACACUAACGAAUAAGGGGUGGGCAAGUUCUGGUGUCAGCCGCCGCGGUAAAACCAGCACCUCAAGUGGUCAGGAUGAUUAUUGGGCCUAAAGCAUCCGUAGCCGGCUCUGUAAGUUUUCGGUUAAAUCUGUACGCUCAACGUACAGGCUGCCGGGAAUACUGCAGAACUAGGGAGUGGGAGAGGUAGACGGUACUCGGUAGGAAGUGGUAAAAUGCUUUGAUCUAUCGAUGACCACCUGUGGCGAAGGCGGUCUACCAGAACACGUCCGACGGUGAGGGAUGAAAGCUGGGGGAGCAAACCGGAUUAGAUACCCGGGUAGUCCCAGCUGUAAACUAUGCAAACUCAGUGAUGCAUUGGCUUGUGGCCAAUGCAGUGCUGCAGGGAAGCCGUUAAGUUUGCCGCCUGGGAAGUACGUACGCAAGUAUGAAACUUAAAGGAAUUGGCGGGGGAGCACCACAAGGGGUGAAGCCUGCGGUUC
rnacentral:rRNA from 1 species